rnacentral:rRNA from 1 species
GACGAACGCUGGCGGCGUGCUUAACACAUGCAAGUCGAACGGUAAGGCCCUUCGGGGUACACGAGUGGCGAACGGGUGAGUAACACGUGGGUGAUCUGCCCUGCACUUCGGGAUAAGCCUGGGAAACUGGGUCUAAUACCGGAUAGGACCACUGCCUGCAUGGGUGGUGGUGGAAAGCUUUUGCGGUGUGGGAUGGGCCCGCGGCCUAUCAGCUUGUUGGUGGGGUGAUGGCCUACCAAGGCGACGACGGGUAGCCGGCCUGAGAGGGUGACCGGCCACACUGGGACGGAGAUACGGCCCAGACUACUACGGGAGGCAGGAGUGGGGAAUAUUGCUCAAUGGGCGCAAGCCUGAUGCAGCGACGCCACGUGAGGGAUGACGGCCUUCGGGUUGUAAACCUCUUUCAGCACCGACGAAGCGCAAGUGACGGUAGGUGCAGAAGAAGGACCGGCCAACUACGUGCCAGCCGCCGCCGUAA